GGGUUGUGAGGUUAAGCGACUAAGCGUACACGGUGGAUGCCCUGGCAGUCAGAGGCGAUGAAGGACGUGCUAAUCUGCGAUAAGCGCCGGUAAGGUGAUAUGAACCGUUAUAACCGGCGAUUUCCGAAUGGGGAAACCCAGUGUGAUUCGUCACACUAUCAUUAACUGAAUCCAUAGGUUAAUGAGGCGAACCGGGGGAACUGAAACAUCUAAGUACCCCGAGGAAAAGAAAUCAACCGAGAUUCCCCCAGUAGCGGCGAGCGAACGGGGAGGAGCCCAGAGCCUGAAUCAGCAUGUGUGUUAGUGGAAGCGUCUGGAAAGGCGCGCGAUACAGGGUGACAGCCCCGUACACAAAAGCGCAUGUGCUGUGAGCUCGAUGAGUAGGGCGGGACACGUGGUAUCCUGUCUGAAUAUGGGGGGACCAUCCUCCAAGGCUAAAUACUCCUGACUGACCGAUAGUGAACCAGUACCGUGAGGGAAAGGCGAAAAGAACCCCGGCGAGGGGAGUGAAAAAGAACCUGAAACCGUGUACGUACAAGCAGUGGGAGCACAGGUUUACCUGUGUGACUGCGUACCUUUUGUAU
rnacentral:rRNA from 1 species